CUGUCCUGGUUUCAGCUGGGAUAGAGUUAAUUGUCUUCCUAGUAGCUGGUACAGUGCUAUGUUUUGAGUUCAGUAUGAGAAGAAUGUUGAUAACACACUGAUGUUUUCAGUUGUUGCUAAGUAACGUUUAGUCUCAAGUCAAGGAUUUUUCAGCUUCUCAUGCCCAGCCAGCAAGAAGGCUGGAGGGGCACAAGAAGUUGUGACGGGACACAGACAGG